GACGAACGCUGGCGGCGUGCUUAACACAUGCAAGUCGAACGGUGAAGCGCCUUCCUUUUUGGUGGGUGUGGAUGAGUGGCGAACGGGUGAGUAACACGUGAGUAACCUGCCCCCUUCUUCUGGAUAACCGCAUGAAAGUGUGGCUAAUACGGGAUAUUCUGGGUCUGUCGCAUGAUGGGUCUGGGAAAGAUAUUGUUUCGGUGGGGGAUGGGCUCGCGGCCUAUCAGCUUGUUGGUGGGGUGAUGGUCUACCAAGGCGGUGACGGGUAGCCGGCCUGAGAGGGUGGACGGUCACACUGGGACUGAGACACGGCCCAGACUCCUACGUGAGGCAGCAGUGGGGAAUAUUGCACAAUGGGCGCAAGCCUGAUGCAGCGACGCCGCGUGAGGGAUGGAGGCCUUCGGGUUGUGAACCUCUUUCGCCAGUGAAGCAGGCCUGCCUCGUUUGUGGGUGGGUUGACGGUAGCUGGAUAAGAAGCGCCGGCUAACUACGUG
rnacentral:rRNA from 1 species